AGUGAACGCUGGCGGUAGGCCUAACACAUGCAAGUCGAACGGCAGCACAGUAAGAGCUUGCUCUUACGGGUGGCGAGUGGCGGACGGGUGAGGAAUACAUCGGAAUCUACUUUUUCGUGGGGGAUAACGUAGGGAAACUUACGCUAAUACCGCAUACGACCUACGGGUGAAAGCAGGGGAUCUUCGGACCUUGCGCGAUUGAAUGAGCCGAUGUCGGAUUAGCUAGUUGGCGGGGUAAAGGCCCACCAAGGCGACGAUCCGUAGCUGGUCUGAGAGGAUGAUAAGCCACACUGGAACGGAGACACGGUCAAGACUCCUACGGGAGGCAGCAGUGGGGAAUAUUGGACAAUGGGCGCAAGCCUGAUCCAGCCAUACCGCGUGGGUGAAGAAGGCUUUCGGGUUGUAAAGCCCUUUUGUGGGGAAAGAAAAGCAGCAGGUUAAUACCCCGCUGUUCUGACGGUACCAAAAGAAUAAGCACCGGCUAACUUCGUG
rnacentral:rRNA from 1 species